CGGACUCGUCCAUACCCCAGCCGUAGUAUCGCGCGGCGAUCCUCAACUGCGCCAGAAUCUAGUUGGCCGUAUCCCAGAUACGUGGGGCGACCACACCGGUCCCUCACAUUUGGUGGCAGUGAUGGGAUCUUUUUUUGACGCCAUCUGAGAAACUGGAGAGACGAGGGGGAAGACGACCAUGGUGAGGACCAGGCAUCCGGCGGAGACCCGAAUGAGGGGUCUGACCUUGCCGCGACCUGAGGGCGCGCUUGACGCCAGACGUACUUGACGCACACGCGGGAACACAAGCGGGAACACAAGCGAAGCAGGACAAGACAAACGAAAAGCGGGACACUGACACGAUGAAGAGGGCAAAACGGAGUGCAGUGUGGAGCCACUUUAAGUUGGUUAAUGACGACAAAGACGCCAAAUGCACAAUAUGUGGAAAUAUUUUAAAGUACAACAACUCCACGAAUUUGUUGA